rnacentral:rRNA from 1 species
UACGGAGGGUGCGAGCGUUGUCCGGAAUCAUUGGGCGUAAAGGGCGCGUAGGUGGCCCGGUCAGUCCGUGGUGAAAGCGCGGGGCUCAACCCUGCGUCGGCCAUGGAUACUGCCGCGGCUCGAGCACUGUAGAGGCAGGCGGAAUUCCGGGUGUAGCGGUGGAAUGCGUAGAGAUCCGGAGGAAGACCGGUGGCGAAGGCGGCCUGCUGGGCAGUUACUGACACUGAGGCGCGACAGCGUGGGGAGCAAACAGG